rnacentral:rRNA from 1 species
CCUACGGGGGGCUGCAGUGGGGAAUAUUGGACAAUGGGGGGAACCCUGAUCCAGCCAUGCCGCGUGUGUGAAGAAGGCCCUCGGGUUGUAAAGCACUUUCAGUGAGGAAGAACGCCUGGUGGUUAAUACCCAUCAGGAAAGACAUCACUCACAGAAGAAGCACCGGCUAACUCCGUGCCAGCAGCCGCGGUAAUACGGAGGGUGCGAGCGUUAAUCGGAAUUACUGGGCGUAAAGCGCGCGUAGGUGGCUUGAUAAGCCGGUUGUGAAAGCCCCGGGCUCAACCUGGGAACGGCAUCCGGAACUGUCAAGCUAGAGUGCAGGAGAGGAAGGUAGAAUUCCCGGUGUAGCGGUGAAAUGCGUAGAGAUCGGGAGGAAUACCAGUGGCGAAGGCGGCCUUCUGGACUGACACUGACACUGAGGUGCGAAAGCGUGGGUAACAAACAGGAUUAGAUACCCCAGUAGUC